GACGAACGCUGGCGGCGUGCUUAACACAUGCAAGUCGAACGGAAAGGCCCUGCUUUUGUGGGGUGCUCGAGUGGCGAACGGGUGAGUAACACGUGAGUAACCUGCCCUGGACUGUGGGAUAACUUCAGGAAACUGGGGCUAAUACCGGCUAGGAGCUCCUGCUGCAUGGUGGGGGUUGGAAAGUUUCGGCGGUGGGGGAUGGACUCGCGGCUUAUCAGCUUGUUGGUGGGGUAGUGGCUUACCAAGGCUUUGACGGGUAGCCGGCCUGAGAGGGUGACCGGCCACAUUGGGACUGCGAGACGGACCAGACUCCUACGGGAGGCAGCAGUGGGGAAUAUUGCACAAUGGGCGGAAGCCUGAUGCAGCAACGCCGCGUGCGGGAUGACGGCCUUCGGGUUGUAAACCGCUUUCGCCUGUGACGAAGCGUGAGUGACGGUAAUGGGUAAAGAAGCACCGGCUAACUACGUG
rnacentral:rRNA from 1 species